rnacentral:rRNA from 1 species
UACGGAGGAUCCAAGCGUUAUCCGGAAUCAUUGGGUUUAAAGGGUCCGUAGGUGGACAAUUAAGUCAGAGGUGAAAUCCUGCAGCUCAACUGUAGAAUUGCCUUUGAAACUGGUUGUCUUGAGUCAUUGUGAAGUGGUUAGAAUAUGUAGUGUAGCGGUGAAAUGCAUAGAUAUUACAUAGAAUACCGAUUGCGAAGGCAGAUCACUAACAAUGUACUGACACUGAUGGACGAAAGCGUGGGGAGCGAACAGG